AAUCCUCCAGCCACACUCUCUGCCCACUGUGUACCUCCACGCACUUUGCCAUCAGUUCUUUCAAAAUAGUAUAAGGGAAAAUGAUAAUUUUGCUUCAGCUGGCUUUCCUUACUGCAGGCCUUGGAGGUGUGCAGUCAGAGGUGCAACUGGUCGAGUCUGGAGGUGACGUGAAAAGGCCCGGAGAGUCCCUGCGCCUCUCCUGCCGAGCCUCCGGCUUCACCUUCAGCAACUCUGGCAUGAGCUGGGUGCGCCAGGCUCCAGGGAAGGGCCUGGAAUGGGUCUCAGCAAUAAAUACUGAUGGAUCCAGCACAUACUAUGCAGACAAGGUGAAGGGGCGCUUCACCAUCUCCAGAAACAACCCCUCCAACAUGCUCUACUUGCAAAUGAACAGCCUGAAGGCCGAGGGCACAGGGACAUAUUUCUGUGCGAGUGGCACAGUGAGAGGAA